CCCUCUUCACCGAUCUCCUAGCCCUACGAAUCAAACAUCUCCGGGCAUCUGGUUUCAAAGAGAGAUUGGUUAGUCGCCUUCUGUUCAUUCUUACCCCAGCUUAUCCCCGCCCCGUUUCCUGUCCGUCCCGACCAGCAGCAGCUGGGUCUCCCCAUCUCUCCUCAACUUCCCCCGGUCUUCGGCCCGAGCUGUAUGAGGCAGAAACUCGUCCCACGUACGGUUCGGA
rnacentral:lncRNA from 1 species